CGUCACCCUGCAAGUUCCUCUUGAAUGUGCCUAUGAAUGAAGAGGUGGAGUUGAAGAAGGCUGAGGAUGCCUGGAAGCCUUCCAUGAAAAGGAGGAAUUCCACAGAGGACCCCGAAACCCAGAAAACUGAGGAGCUUUUUCCGGACGGUCCGCGGUAUCCUUAACAAACUGACGCCAGAGAUGUUCAAUCAGCUGAUGAAGCAGGUGAAAGAGCUCCACAUCGACACAGAGGAGCUACUUAAGGGUGUCGUCGACCUGAUUUUUGAGAAAGCCAUUGAUGAGCCCAACUUCUCCGUGGGGUACGGGAUCAUGUGUAAAUCUCUGGCUGCGUUAAAUGUGCCCAUGGCCAAAAAACCCAAAAGCGAUGUGAAUUUUUGAAUGCUGCUGCUAAACCAGUGUCAGAAAGAGUUUGAGAAGGACAAAACGAGCAACGAUGUCCUUGAGAAAAAACAGCAGGAACUGGAAGCAGCUGUUUCAACCAGUAAUCGUGAGAGGCUUCAAGAUGAGCUGGAGGAGGCAAAAAACAAAGCUCGCAGAAAAGCUGUUUAAGUUUCGGAUGUUUACCGAGUCCAUCAUUCAUAACUGCGUAGUAAAACUGCUGAAACAAAAUGACGAGGAAAGUCUUGAGUGCCUCUCUAUUCUCCUCACGACCGCCGGCAAAGAGAUGGACUUUAAGAAG